rnacentral:rRNA from 1 species
UACGUAGGGUGCGAGCGUUGUCCGGAUUUAUUGGGCGUAAAGAGCUCGUAGGCGGUUUGUCGCGUCUAUCGUGAAAACCGGGAGCUUAACUCCUGGCUUGCGGUGGAUACGGGCAGACUUGAGUUCGGUAGGGGAGACUGGAAUUCCUGGUGUAGCGGUGAAAUGCGCAGAUAUCAGGAGGAACACCGGUGGCGAAGGCGGGUCUCUGGGCCGAUACUGACGCUGAGGAGCGAAAGCGUGGGGAGCGAACAGGAUUAGAUACCCUGGUAGUCCACGCCGUAAACGUUGGGCGCUAGGUGUGGGGAUGGGUUCCACUGUUUCCGUGCCGUAGCUAACGCAUUAAGCGCCCCGCCUGGGGAGUACGGCCGCAAGGCUAAA